GGGGAUGUAGCUCAGUGGUAGAGCGCAUGCUUCGCAUGUAUGAGGUUCAAUCCCCGGCAUCUCCA
rnacentral:tRNA from 1 species